UGAGGAAUAUUGCACAAUGGGGGCAACCCUGAUGCAGCAACGCCGCGUGAGUGAUGAAGCAGUUUAUCUGUGUAAAGCUCUGUUGGGAGGGACGAAAUGACUGGCUAGUUGCCGGUUUUGACGGUACCUCCUGAGGAAGCUCCGGCUAACUCCGUGCCAGCAGCCGCGGUAAUACGGGGGGAGCGAGCGUUGUCCGGAUUUAUUGGGCGUAAAGGGCAUGUAGGUGGUUUUUUAAGUCAGUUGUUAAACUUAUCGGCUUAACCGGUACUUGCAAUUGAUACUGGAGGACUUGAAUCUGAGAGGGGAUAGUGGAAUAUCAAGUGUAGCGGUGGAAUGCGUAGAUAUUUGAUAGAACACCUGAGGUGCAGACGACUAUCUGGCUCAUGAUUGACACUGAGAUGCGAAAGUAUGGGGAGCAAACA
rnacentral:rRNA from 1 species